CCUACGGGGGGCUGCAGUGGGGAAUAUUGCACAAUGGGCGCAAGCCUGAUGCAGCCAUGCCGCGUGUGUGAAGAAGGCCUUCGGGUUGUAAAGCACUUUCAGCGGGGAGGAAGGCGUUAAGGUUAAUAACCUUGUCGAUUGACGUUACCCGCAGAAGAAGCACCGGCUAACUCCGUGCCAGCAGCCGCGGUAAUACGGAGGGUGCAAGCGUUAAUCGGAAUUACUGGGCGUAAAGCGCACGCAGGCGGUCUGUCAAGUCGGAUGUGAAAUCCCCGGGCUCAACCUGGGAACUGCAUUCGAAACUGGCAGGCUAGAGUCUUGUAGAGGGGGGUAGAAUUCCCGGUGUAGCGGUGAAACGCGUAGAGAUCUGGAGGAAUACCGGUGGCGAAGGCGGCCCCCUGGACAAAGACUGACGCUCAGGUGCGAAAGCGUGGGGAGCAAACAGGAUUAGAUACCCGAGUAGUC
rnacentral:rRNA from 1 species